UACCAGCACCUCGAGUGGUUAGGAGGUUUAUUGGGCCUAAAGCAUCCGUAGCCGGCUAUGCAAGUCUCCGGUCAAAUCCAACUGCUUAACAGAUGGGCCGCCGGAGAUACUACAUAGCUAGGGAGCGGGAGAGGUAGACGGUACUCUGUGGGUAGGGGUAAAAUCCACUGAUCCAUAGAAGACCACCAGUGGCGAAGGCGGUCUACCAGAACGCGUUCGACGGUGAGGGAUGAAAGCUGGGGGAGCAAACCGG
rnacentral:rRNA from 2 species